CCUACGGGAGGCAGCAGUGAGGAAUAUUGGUCAAUGGACGAGAGUCUGAACCAGCCAAGUAGCGUGAAGGAUGACUGCCCUAUGGGUUGUAAACUUCUUUUAUAAAGGAAUAAAACGAGGCACGUGUGCCUUUUUGCAUGUACUUUAUGAAUAAGGAUAGGCUAACUCCGUGCCAGCAGCCGCGGUAAUACGGAGGAUCCGAGCGUUAUCCGGAUGUAUUGGGUGUAAAGGGAGCGUAGAUGGGUUGUUAAGUCAGUUGUGAAAGUUUGCGGCUCAACCGUAAAAUUGCAAUUUAUACUGGCAGUCUUGAGUACAGUUGAGGUAGGCGGAAUUCGUGGUGUAGCGGUGAAAUGCUUAGAUAUCACGAAGAACCCCGAUUGCGAAGGCAGCUUACUAGACUGUGACUGACAUUGAUGCUCGAAAGUGUGGGUAUCAAACAGGAUUAGAUACCCCGGUAGUC
rnacentral:rRNA from 1 species